rnacentral:rRNA from 1 species
AGCGAACGCUGGCGGCAGGCUUAACACAUGCCAGUCGAGCGGGCACUUUCGGGUGUCAGCGGCGGACGGGUGAGUAACGCGUGGGAACGUGCCCUCUGGUUCGGAAUAACUCAGGGAAACUUGAGCUAAUACCGGAUACGCCCUUUUGGGGAAAGGCUUGCUGCCGGAGGAUCGGCCCGCGUCUGAUUAGCUAGUUGGUGAGGUAACGGCUCACCAAGGCGACGAUCAGUGGCUGGUCUGAGAGGAUGAUCAGCCACACUGGGACUGAGACACGGCCCAGACUCCUACGGGAGGCAGCAGUGGGGAAUAUUGGACAAUGGGCGCAAGCCUGAUCCAGCCAUGCCGCGUGAGUGAUGAAGGCCUUAGGGUUGUAAAGCUCUUUUAUCCGGGACGAUAAUGACGGUACCGGAGGAAUAAGCCCCGGCUAACUUCGUG